GUAGCUGUCAGGGCCCGGGGCUUUGUUGCUCUUCAAGGAGGAUAUGGCCAUAUUGAUUUCGUCUGUGGUGAUUGGGGCCGAUAAUUCUUCUAUGGCUGCGGUAUGGAGUUUGGGUAGGUUGAGGCGCGCUAAGAAUUCCGAUGUCCUCUGGCAGGCUGUCUGAGUGAGCAUAUGGCCUUGGGGGGUGUGGUUGUAUAGGGCUUCGUAAUAGGAGGUAAAAGUCUGCGCUAUCUCUGUCGGUGUGGUUUUCAUGGUGCCGUCGGGGGCUCG